rnacentral:rRNA from 1 species
GGGAGGCAGCAGGGGGGAAUUUUGGACAAUGGGCGCAAGCGUGAUCCAGCAAUGCCGCGUGCAGGAAGAAGGCCUUCGGGUUGUAAACUGCUUUUGUCAGGGAAGAAAUCUUCUGGGUUAAUACCCCGGGAGGAUGACGGUACCUGAAGAAUAAGCACCGGCUAACUACGUGCCAGCAGCCGCGGUAAUACGUAGGGUGCGAGCGUUAAUCGGAAUUACUGGGCGUAAAGCGUGCGCAGGCGGCUUUGCAAGACAGAUGUGAAAUCCCCGGGCUCAACCUGGGAACUGCAUUUGUGACUGCAAGGCUAGAGUACGGCAGAGGGGGAUGGAAUUCCGCGUGUAGCAGUGAAAUGCGUAGAUAUGCGGAGGAACACCAAUGGCGAAGGCAAUCCCCUGGGCCUGUACUGACGCUCAUGCACGAAAGCGUGGGGAGCAAACA